rnacentral:rRNA from 1 species
UACGUAGGUGGCAAGCGUUGUCCGGAUUUAUUGGGUUUAAAGGGUGCGUAGGCGGUUUUAUAAGUCAGUGGUGAAAUCCGGCAGCUCAACUGUCGAUGUGCCAUUGAUACUGUAGAACUUGAGUACUGAUGAGGUAGGCGGAAUUGACGGUGUAGCGGUGAAAUGCUUAGAUAUCGUCAAGAACACCGAUAGCGAAGGCAGCUUACUAAGCAGUAACUGACGCUGAGGCACGAAAGUGUGGGGAUCAAACAGG